UGCCAGCCGCCGCGGUAAUACGGGGGGGGCAAGCGUUAUUCGGAAUUACUGGGCGUAAAGAGCGCGUAGGCGGCCAAGUGUGUCAAAGGUGAAAUCCCUCGGCUUAACCGAGGAACUGCCUUUGAAACUGCUUGGCUUGAGGCUGGGAGGGGAUAGUGGAAUUCCCGGUGUAGCGGUGAAAUGCGUUGAUAUUAGGAGGAACGCCGGUGGCGAAAGCGACUCUCUGGUCUGAUACUGACGCUGAGGUGCGAAAGCUAGGGGAGCAAACGGGAUUAGAUA
rnacentral:rRNA from 1 species